rnacentral:rRNA from 1 species
GGAUAACCUACCCUUAGGACCGGGAUAACCUUGGGAAACUGAGGAUAAUACUGGAUGGGCAAUUAUUCCUGGAAUGGAUUUUUGUUUAAAUGUUUUUUCGCCUAAGGAUGGGUCUGCGGCCGAUUAGGUAGUUGGUUAGGUAACGGCUUACCAAGCCAUUGAUCGGUACGGGUUGUGAGAGCAAGAGCCCGGAGAUGGAACCUGAGACAAGGUUCCAGGCCCUACGGGGUGCAGCAGGCGCGAAACCUCCGCAAUGUGAGAAAUCGCGACGGGGGGAUCCCAAGUGCCAUUCUUAACGGGAUGGCUUUUCAUUAGUGUAAAGAGCUUUUGGAAUAAGGGCUGGGCAAGACCGGUGCCAGCCGCCGCGGUAACACCGGCAGCUCUAGUGGUAGCAGUUUUUAUUGGGCCUAAAGCGUCCGUAGCCGGUUUAAUAAGUCUCUGGUGAAAUCCUGUAGCUUAACUGUGGGAAUUGCUGGAGAUACUAUUAGACUUGAGACCGGGAGAGGUUAGAGGUACUCCCAGGGUAGAGGUGAAAUUCUGUAAUCCUGGGAGGACCGCCUGUUGCGAAGGCGUCUAACUGGAACGGUUCUGACGGUGAGGGACGAAAGUUAGGGGCGCGAACCGGAUUAGAUACCCGGGUAGUCCUAACUGUAAACGAUGCGGACUUGGUGUUGGGGUGGCUUUGAGCUGCU